rnacentral:rRNA from 1 species
UGGGGAAUAUUGCACAAUGGGCGAAAGCCUGAUGCAGCAACGCCGCGUGAGGGAAGACGGUUUUCGGAUUGUAAACCUCUGUUUUCGGUGACGAACAAAUGACGGUAACCGAGUAGGAAGCCACGGCUAACUACGUGCCAGCAGCCGCGGUAAUACGUAGGUGGCAAGCGUUAUCCGGAAUUACUGGGUGUAAAGGGAGCGCAGGCGGGAUAGCAAGUCAGCUGUGAAAACUAUGGGCUCAACCCAUAAACUGCAGUUGAAACUGUUAUUCUUGAGUGGAGUAGAGGCAAGCGGAAUUCCGAGUAUAGCGGUGAAAUGCGUAGAUAUUA